AGUGAACGCUGGCGGUAGGCCUAACACAUGCAAGUCGAACGGCAGCACAGUAAGCGCUUGCUCUUACGGGUGGCGAGUGGCGGACGGGUGAGGCAUACAUCGGAAUCUACUUUUUCGUGGGGGAUAACGUAGGGAAACUUACGCUAAUACCGCAUACGACCUACGGGUGAAAGCAGGGGAUCUUCGGACCUUGCGCGAUUGAAUGAGCCGAUGCCGGAUUAGCUAGUUGGCGGGGUAAAGGCCCACCAAGGCGACGAUCCGUAGCUGGUCUGAGAGGAUGAUCAGCCACACUGGAACUGAGACACGGUCCAGACUCCUACGGGAGGCAGCAGUGGGGAAUAUUGGACAAAGGGCGCAAGCCUGAUCCAGCCAUACCGCGUGGGUGAAGAAGGCCUUCGGGUUGUAAAGCCCUUUUGUUGGGAAAGAAAAGCAGCAGGUGAAUACCCCGCUGUUCUGACGGUACCCAAAGAAUAAGCACCGGCUAACUUCGUG
rnacentral:rRNA from 1 species